AACGCACCUUGCGCUCGCUGGUAUUCCGGCGAGCAUGCCUGUUUGAGUGUCAUGAACUCUUCAACCCUCCAAUUCCUUGUUGAAUUGUGAGGUGUUUGGAUUUUGAACGCUUGCUGGUCUAAUCUCUCUUUACCGAGAGGUCAAGACGUAGCUCGUUCGUAAUACAUUAGCAAAACUAAUCCCGAAUGAUUCGGAUUGACUCGGCGUAAUAGACUUUUAUUCGCUGAGGACACCUUUUCGAAGGUGGCCGAAUCUCGAUUGUUAGUAGCUUCCAACUCUCAUAUUUGAAGUCAAAUUACUUUUUAGAUUAGACCUCAGAUCAGGCAGGACUACCCGCUGAACUUAA
rnacentral:misc_RNA from 1 species